UACGUAGGGUGCGAGCGUUGCCCGGAUUUAUUGGGCGUAAAGGGCGCGUAGGCGGCGCUGUAAGUCACUUGUGAAAUCUCCGGGCUUAACUCGGAACGGUCAAGUGAUACUGCAGUGCUAGAGUGCAGAAAGGGCAAUCGGAAUUCUUGGUGUAGCGGUGAAAUGCGUAGAUAUCAAGAGGAACACCUGAGGCGAAGGCGGGUUGCUAGGCUGACACUGACGCUGACAGCGCGAAAGCCAGGGGAGCAAACAGG
rnacentral:rRNA from 1 species